rnacentral:lncRNA from 1 species
AGCAAAGCUGUGUUUCCUGGGGAAAAGUGUGGCAUCUUCAGUUUACAUCAACUUGCUCUCAUCUGAGACAAAACUCUGUGUGUCCCUGCUGCGAUGGAUGCCAGAUAGAGCCUGCUUGCCUAGGAUGGGGACAGAUGCCAUUGGAAACAGGUCAGCAAAUUUACAACAGCGGCCAGUACUUUUGCAAGAUCGCUGGAGAGAAUUCAUCAUCAGAAUAGAGAUUGCAAGACCAUCACGAUGACUUCACGUCAGUGCCAGCAUAUGCAGCCGUGGAAUACAGUGAGCGCUCUCUGCGGCUGACAGCAAUAGCGGUGAUCUAAUUUACCCGGCGACUGGAAGAAACUCUUUGUACAGGCUCUGGGUCCCUUUGGAUUAGUGACUUCAAGGUCAACUGGAGGAGAAAGGAAGCAGGGCUGAGGGUCACCCUCUCCUGUCUCAUUUGCAUGCUCUUGAAUAUAUGAUUUUAAGAAACAUGCGUUUUUGAUCUGCAAUGUAAAAAUUCCUCAAUGAUUUUUUGUACAGAUGUGCAGAAUACAGGAAUGAAAUAAAAUAUUGAGAAUU